rnacentral:miRNA from 1 species
GACGUCGAAUAUCGACGUCAUAAACACCAAAGUUGACCGUGUUUAUGACGUCGAAUAUCGACGUCAUAAACACCAAAGUUGUUCGUGUUUAUGACGUCGAAUAUCGACGUCAUAAACACCAAAGUUGAUCGUGUUUAUGACGUCGAAUAUCGACGUCAUAAACACCAAAGUUGAUCGUGUUUAUGACGUCGAAUAUAGACGUCAUAAACACCAAAGUUGCUCGUGUUUAUGACGUCGAAUAUCGACGUC